UUCCUUCUCCGAUUGCGGCUGGUGUGAAAAGGCAACAACAAUCUCCUAUAUAUUAGGUAUUUACAUUCCCUCUUAAAGCCAAGAACCCUUGAUUUCCUAUUCUGUCUCGUGUAAAGCCACCUCUCAUGCAAAUCCAUGCCACCCGGAUUACUCUUCUUCACAUAUUCUUUACCAAAGUGAAUGCCACAUCCCUUACUUUCAUGGGCACACCCAUCCACUUUCUCAUCUUGGCACAAUUUGGUUCUCGCCAGCAUUAGGAGACACACCCAGCAGCCCUUGG
rnacentral:misc_RNA from 1 species